ACCUAAGUUUCUUAACUUUGUGAUAUAAACCUGUAAGAUUGAUGUGGUUGCAGAGAGUGGAUGAUUUGAAAUUUGAGAUAUAAGAACUACUGAAAUUCCAGCAUGAACUUUUUUAGCCUUGCCUUAAGAUGGUGUUGGGUUAUUAUUAUUGCUUGUGACAUCCCUACACAACUGCCAGUCUGGAUCAGCUGCAUUUCCUUAACACCCCUCCUAAAAGGCUAGAGACUACAGAGAGCUAAAAUACAGGGCAGGGGGAAAUAGGAAAUAUUUUAAGCUCAUAUUAUUUCUGAGUAAAUCAGGGUGUCAUUGAAAAGAAUACCAGGCUACGUUUUCCUCCAGUUGAAGGUGGGAGUUUUCCUUCUGGUAUCAACACGGUCAUGAUUUUCAUUCAAUGCCUUUGAUCCAGGGCGAUUAAGAGUACAUGGGCAGUGAAUAAGCAAAACAUGGUUUGCCGAGAGUGCAGUAAAAGUUGAGGCCCUUCAAAUUGGUUAGUUAUUACUGAAACCUGCUUGGGUAGGAUUUAAUUUUCAAGAGUAUCUAAAAUGAAGGUACAGGAAUGUACCUUUGUUCAAAAUAAAACUCUUGGGUUUGUGUGUGUGCAGCAGUAAGUGAGUGCCCAGGAAAGGGGUGCUCCAGGUACAUGUGUGCUGCACAGAGAGACUUCACGUGCACAGGUGCACUCACGCAGUCAGAAGAGAGAGGCCGUUCCUAUGUAUUGUCCCUGUGUACACACAGAAAAGACCAACCCUUCAGGCGUGGAGGUACGUGUGUGCAGGAGACAGAGGACAAGCAGAAGCAAAGCUCAGACUGAGAAGCUGGGGAAGUGUGUCUUGUUGCCCACGUGUACAAUAAAGCAGGACUUUGUGUGUUCUUAGAAUAAACAGGAUCACAUCAAAGAUACUGGCUAGAUCACAAGUUUUAACCGAGUGACCCACAUGAUCCCAAAUUCUUUCUGGCUGCUAGUCAGAGACUGCUUUUGAUCUCUGCUAAUGAAGUAGUCUCCUCUUUCCCAGCUUUCCAUAUUGGUUCAAAGGGCAGUGAAGUGGGACUGAAGAAGACAUCUGACUCAUCAAAACCCUCCUUCGGUUUGGAAGAAAGACCUGCUGCAAAUCCACAGAAAAUCCUGGCUGCAGGAUGAAAGGAGAGAUGAGGACGUUCUUCUCAGCUGUACCCAAGAUGUCACCUGCGUGGCUGCUGUCUAGGAAUAUAGAUGACCUUUGCUACUCUGGCCAGAGUGGGUAUACCUCAGCGAUUUAGCAAAGACAUGACAAGCGUGAAGUGGAAGGCGUUGAGAAAGCAUUAUAUCAAUUUUCAGUUCGUCUUGAAGAUGGUUUCUACACACUUGUGUUCUAUAAGCUUGGAAAGAGUACCCUUGUCCCAUCUUCAGACAUGGGAACUAGUCGUUAUUUCAAUUUAUUGCUGUGGUAGUAGGAUUAAGCUUUUGAUGAAACCAGAAAUUAUACCUCUGCUGUGUUAGUGCAGUGACUGAAAUUGGUUGGCCCAGCACGGUGCACUGAUUCAACUGCUAGGUGAUAUCUUUUGCAUUUGAAUUGAUUAAAACCUGGCUUCAUUCUGAGCCAAUUGCUGCUGCACCUCACACUUUAUAACUUAAAGGUAUUAUUUACACUGCCUCAAGACAAGACUACAGUAAAAGAUUAUUGUUGGGGCUUCAGACUCAAGUACUUAAGAAUUACCAAAAGGCGACGUUAAUUUUAGCAUUUUGACACUCUCAGAUAAUAUCCAUGGGGUGCUUGACACUCUCUGAAUAUUAAGGACUUUUGCUGGCCUCUCAAUGGACCAGGAAUGCAGAAAGAGCAGUGCACACCUUCCAAACAAGCAUGUUUAAAACUAAGUGCGAAUCUAUGUGACAUGCCCAGUUGUUUCCAGGGAAUAAGAUGGGAAGAAAACGUUGCUGAAAAGUGAAAAAACGCAGAACACGUUGGCAGAGAUAGGAUCAACACGUAAAGUUUUGCGGCUGAGGUCUUGUUUAAAAUAUGUGUUAGGCUGAAAAAUUAACGCCCCGUUUGUAGGAGCAAAGGAUGCUCCCAGUGCCUACAGAUGCUGCUUUAUUUAGCAAAAGCAGCCGAAUCUACCAGACUGUGGUGUUGGAGGACUUUUAUGUAGAGCAAAUAGUAAGUGUCUUUAAUUACCUUUAUUUACCCAAUUGGUGUCAACGUUAAACUCUCUCAGUUAAAAGGGCAGAAUGUCCUUCAUGGAAAAUGUGAUUUUUGAAGUCUGACAACUUAAAUACAACAGGAAGGUUUUUGCUAAGGCUGCCUGGGGAGAAAAAUCACCUUUCGCUCAACAGAACAGGAAGAAAUUCAAGCUCUCAGUCAAAGUUUUUCAAGAAACUAGUGAAAAUGGAGGAUUAUAGUUUAAACUGUUUUGCAAUCGUUGGCCUCAAUCCUGCAGAUGCUUUUUACACGCGCUUAACAUUAUAUACGUGGUUAGUUUUCCUGACCUGCAUGGGAUUAUUUACACAUGUAGAUAUAAGUACAUGCCUGAGUGUUUACAGAACGGAGUUUAAACUAUAGCAUUUGUUGCCGUAAGAAGCGACAUGUCAAGAUCCCCAUAAUUGGCUCACUGAGAUUCUUUAUGUUAGUAAAAAAAAAAAAGAAAAAAGCUGAGAAAUUCAGGAAUUAAGAUUCCUGAGGCGGUCUCAGAUCUGCUCCCUCAUGUGAAUAGGAUCUUUUGUUGUGCUGGAUCACGGCAUUGAGCCACAAAACUUAUUUAGCAGCUAUUAAAAAAACAAAAACCACCACCCUUAUAUAGUUUGAAUCUACUGCUCAUAGGAAGAUAUUGUCUGCAUUUCUUUCCUCUCUCUAAUGUACAUCAAAGCUAAAAAAGGUUUGUU